rnacentral:rRNA from 1 species
CAUGGCUCAGGAUGAACGCUGACAGAAUGCUUAACACAUGCAAGUCGAUGGGGAAGUGGUGCUUGCACCAUGGUAACCAUGGCGGACGGGUGAGUAACGCGUAAGGGACUUACCUGCAGGACCGGGAUAACAGGGGGAAACUCCUGACAAGACCGGAUAAUGUCAUGGAGCUGCAUGGCUUUAUGAUGAAAGGAGACGCCUGCGGAGAGCCUUGCGUCCUAUUAGCUAGUUGGUGAGGUAAGGGCUCACCAAGGCGAAGAUAGGUAGCCGGCCUGAGAGGGUGGACGGCCACAAGGCGAAUACAUUACAGCCCUUACUCAUACGG